UGCCGAGGGCGUGUGCUCCUGUUCCUGACAUUACUGUGUCACACGACAUAAACUGUUCCUGUCGUGGCUCCAAUCUGACCCUGAAUUUGCACCUUCGCAGCUGUUGAGGUGUUGAAGGAUCUCAUUAUGUGGUCCCAGCUGGCCUGGAACAUACCGUGUGCACCAAGCAACCCUCAAACUCCCGGACAUCUGCUUGCAAGCUAAUUCCCACAGGCUGGGAUGACAGUCGUGCACCACCACACCGGCUUUCAGCGUUGCUACAGAUUGAAUCCAGGGCUUUGUGCAUGCUGGGCAAGCAUUCUACCAACCGAACCAUACUCCAGCUCCUCAUUUAACUGUGCUUUCUCACCGGGUGGUGGUGGCGCACGCUUUUAAUCCCAGCACUCGGGAGGCAGAGGCUGGGGGAUCUCCGUGAGUUCGAGGCCAGCCUGGUUUACAGAUCAAAGGGGGGGGGGGUGAAAACAGCAGUUUUAACUGUCCUUUCUCAAAUGUCUCCGUGAAUGGGUUAUCAGUAGGUAACCUACAGUCAGAUCUCACUUCUAGGACUCCAGGCUGUGGGCACCCAGUGACCGGCUCACCGCGCUCUUUCCCUGCCUCACCCCCACCCCUCCACCCCAGAGCUCACCUGCUCAGCCCAUCCAUCAUCUAUUUGUCCAAUAAAUAUAAUCUGAGCCUUCCAGUGCCAGGGGCCUGGGACCCAGGGAUGAACCAAACCACAUCCCUGCCCUGGAGGAUCUCGCCGCUUCAAAGCGCCGUACAAAGAGAAAAACGGUGUCCUCCAAAAAUCUGAGGACAUGCUGUCCCCAGCUGUGUGAUAAGCACAGCAGUCCGAGUAAAAACACUGUGUCCUUGAGAUCAGCUGGAAGUCAAACCGUCGCCCACACACCACUGUCCUGCGGUUCCUCUCACCGUAUAAACGUGUCUACAGUGGGAAAGAGAAGCCGGGAGUUUAACCGUGUGAAUUACGAAUUACGUCGCGGAUGGGAAGCUUAGCCAUCGAGAGAAAGCUCUUGGGGCUAAAGAGAUGGGAU